ACGGAAGGCAGUAGUGGGGAAUAUUGCGCAAUGGGGGAAACCCUGAUGCAGCAACGCCGCGUGAGUGAAGAAGUAUUUCGGUAUGUAAAGCUCUAUCAGCAGGGAAGAUAAUGACGGUACCUGACUAAGAAGCUCCGGCUAAAUACGUGCCAGCAGCCGCGGUAAUACGUAUGGAGCAAGCGUUAUCCGGAUUUACUGGGUGUAAAGGGUGCGUAGGUGGCAGGGCAAGUCAGAUGUGAAAGACCGGGGCUCAACUCCGGGGCUGCAUUUGAAACUGUCUUGCUGGAGUGCAGGAGGGGCAAGCGGAAUUCCUAGUGUAGCGGUGAAAUGCGUAGAUAUUAGGAGGAACACCGGUGGCGAAGGCGGCUUGCUGGACUGAUACUGACACUGAGGCACGAAAGCGUGGGGAGCAAACAGGAUUAGAUACCCUGGUA
rnacentral:rRNA from 1 species